AUUCUGAAGAAAGACAAGUGCAACCAACCUGCUUCUCCAGAGAUCUCCCAAGACAUCAACAAUGGGGUCAAGGAAAACAGACACCCUUAGGAUCCUGAGUACUGAGCUAUGGUAUUUGUCUCUGCAUAACCGGCAAGGACACGGACUCUCCAGGGCUGAGACUAAAAGGGGAAGGCUUACCUCAGCUGCCCUCGAUUUCCCCUUCAGUGAAGACAUCCUCAUCCUCAAAGCAUCUCUUAUCUAAAGAAGCAAUGACAAUGAGAAGUACCUCACAGAUGUUGGAAGAAACAACAGAAUUGCCUGUCCUGAAACUUUAAGACCAGUAACCCUGGCAGAAGCAAUAUCAGAGGACUUAGCAUAGUGACUGGCAAGUAACAAGAUUUGGAUAAAAGCUAGGGUGUAAUUAUAAUUAGAUUUGGGAUUUGGUAUUAGGACUAAAAUUGUGAUUAUGAUUUCCAUUCUUUUCACCAGCAAUACUUGCACACAGCCUCCUGUUGACUUGAUAAAGAGCAAGAAAUGACAGAAUAUUGGUGUGUUUUUUUUUUCUUUUCACAGCUGAUUCCUUGAACCAUCCUCACAAACUCAACUCCCCUGGAGUAUGCUCUCCAAUCAAAACUGCUUCAUCCUCCUGCUUCCCCCAGCCACAUGAAAACC
rnacentral:lncRNA from 10 species